rnacentral:rRNA from 1 species
CAGCAGCCACGGUAACACGAAGGGGGCUAGCGUUGCUCGGAAUUACUGGGCGUAAAGGGAGCGUAGGCGGAUCGUUUAGUCGGGGGUGAAAUCCCGGGGCUCAACCUCGGAACUGCCUUUGAUACUGGCGAUCUUGAGUAUGGGAGAGGUGUGUGGAACUCCGAGUGUAGAGGUGAAAUUCGUAGAUAUUCGGAAGAACACCAGUGGCGAAGGCGACACACUGGCCCAUUACUGACGCUGAGGCUCGAAAGCGUGGGGAGCAAACAGGAUUAGAUACCCGCGUAGUCCCUGUCUCUUAUAC